AGUGGUACGUGUCUGACAACGAAGAACUCAAGCUAGGACAUUUUGUGUUGAUGAAUGUUUGGUAUGCUGUUAGAAAUGAGCCAAAAUGGGUAACCUACAAUGAUAACCUCCGAAAUGCACGCAAAAGGAAGGGAUCAGACCAUGUGGCUGAAGAGGAUAGGGACGAAGCAGACCCUUUUGAUGUCACUGUAAAACCUAGACCAAUGGGUACAAAAGCAGCAAAGAAGGCAGCACAUGAAGUAAAGGUGCACUCCAUGUCUUCCUCAACAGAAGAUGCAGAUGUUACAAUCCUCAAAGAAGCUCAAGCAAACAGACUAAAGGUACUAGAAGUACAGCAGAAAUUAUCAGCAGAGAGGUUAGAGUCAUCAAAGAUUGCCCAUCUAGCAGCAAAGGAGCACAAAGAGGCCAAACUUGCUGAGAAGGAAGCCAAGACUCUGGAGGUUAAAGCAAAAAUGAUGGAGACAUAUAACUGUCUACUUGCAAAAGAUGUUGGGCUAAUGAACGCUGAGGAAAAGGAUGAUCAUGUUGCAACACUCAAGUACUUGAAGAAGUCAAUAUUUCCUGAUAUGUACUAAGCCAACACCUUCCCCAACUUUGUCAUGGAGUGGGCUGCAUCAUAGAACCAGAGGAGCUGUACUUCAUCAACCAGUUUGAUGAUUAGUUCAGAGCUUAGAAUCAAUUAGCUGUCCUUCAUCUACCUGUGUGAACAUGUGUUUUAUUUUUAUUUUGUUGCCUGCAUGUGUGAACAUGUGUAUGGUCUGAGCGAUGUCAGACUAAAUUGUG